GAUUAAGUUAUUAAGGGCGCACGGUGGAUGCCUUGGCACUAGAAGCCAAUGAAGGACGUUACUAACGACGAUAUGCUUUGGGGAGCUGUAAGUAAGCUUUGAUCCAGAGAUUUCCGAAUGGGGAAACCCAGCAUGAGUUAUGUCAUGUUAUCGAUAUGUGAAUACAUAGCAUAUCAGAAGGCACACCCGG
rnacentral:rRNA from 1 species